UGCCCCGAGUUCAGAUCUGGUCUUCUACUCGUACUGUCUAUGUCACAUGGACUUUGAACUCUCCAAGCUGUAAAGGUUUAUGCUCACUCAGUGGUCUUUAUGGAGCACCUAAUGUGUGCACAACUUCACCCUAAACAAAUACACUAAGACCAAUGGGACACAGUGAAGCACUGCCCCACGGCGAGAUGGGAGUAAACAUCCCAGCCUCAAGGACAGUGGGUGUGUUAAGUGAGGCAGAAGAUGGGACCGUACAUGGCCCAGUUUUAUCAUUUCCUUCUCCUUUCCCUUCAUGUCCUUCCCCACAGUCCUGGGAGACUCAGCUCUUCAAAUGACGAGGGAGGAUUGGAGAAAGCCCAGGCUGGCCUGAGCAGGAAGUGCUGGUCAAAGCUCGGAGAGCACGCCAUUCCAUUCUUUGCCCGCGCCUCCUCCUCUGCCCCUUGGAUUGAGAAUGGAAAACCUGAGUAACCUGACAUCGUGGUGAAGGAUUCAGCCUGCGUGGACUCAGACAGCCGAGGGAGGAUGGAACCAGACAGGAAGUCAGGCUGCGCUGUGCCCAGCCCAGGGGCCUCCGGCUUCUCUGCAUAGAAUUCCAGCGCCAAGGACACCCAGAGCUCCCUCGAGUCCUGAAGACCCCUAGGGUGCUUCCCCCUGCCCUGCAUUUCUCUGUCUUUUCUCGCAUGCUUCUAGAUAACAGAAAUGGUUCUUAAUAAAUUCCUGUUUACAGUAAAAUUGAUGCUCCUGAGAGAUGACCUCGGUUUGCUGUUUUGUACCCUCCCCCGCGGACUCGGGUCCA
rnacentral:lncRNA from 1 species